rnacentral:rRNA from 1 species
AGUAAAAGUCGUAACAAGGUCUCCGUAGGUGAACCUGCGGAGGGAUCAUUACAAGUGACCCCGGUCUAACCACCGGGAUGUUCAUAACCCUUUGUUGUCCGACUCUGUUGCCUCCGGGGCGACCCUGCCUUCGGGCGGGGGCUCCGGGUGGACACUUCAAACUCUUGCGUAACUUUGCAGUCUGAGUAAACUUAAUUAAUAAAUUAAAACUUUUAACAACGGAUCUCUUGGUUCUGGCAUCGACGAAGAACGCAGCGAAAUGCGAUAAGUAAUGUGAAUUGCAGAAUUCAGUGAACCAUCGAAUCUUUGAACGCACAUUGCGCCCCCUGGUAUUCCGGGGGGCAUGCCUGUUCGAGCGUCAUUUCACCACUCAAGCCUCGCUUGGUAUUGGGCAACGCGGUCCGCCGCGUGCCUCAAAUCGACCGGCUGGGUCUUCUGUCCCCUAAGCGUUGUGGAAACUAUUCGCUAAAGGGUGCUCGGGAGGCUACGCCGUAAAACAAACCCAUUUCUAAGGUUGACCUCGGAUCAGGUAGGGAUACCCGCUGAACUUAAGCAUAUCAAUAAGCGGAGGA